GUGCCAGCCGCCGCGGUAAUACCGGCAGCCCAAGUGAUGGCCGCUGUUAUUGGGCCUAAAGCGUCCGUAGCUGGCCGCACAAGUCCGUCGGGAAAUCCGCCCGCUCAACGGGCGGCCGUCCGGCGGAACCUGUGUGGCUUGGGACCGGGAGGCCUGAGGGGUACGAUCGGGGUAGGAGUGAAAUCCUGUAAUCCCGCUCGGACCGCCGAUGGCGAAAGCACGUUGGGAAGACGAAUCCGACAGUGAGGGACGAAAGCUAGGGUCUCGAACCGGAUUAGAUACCCUUGUAGUCC
rnacentral:rRNA from 1 species